ACCUCUCAAUUCUGCAUUUCACCUAGUGGGUCUCCCCAAAAUUUCAAUAUUUUCUGCGGAUGAAAUUCGUAUUAGCGGGUUCUCACUUUGAUUACUAUUGUGAUUUGGAAUUUUCUGACUGGUCUUGCAAUUUUAAAAUCUGGGUUUGCAUUUUCAGCAUCUGGGUCGGUUGAAUUUUUGAAUAUUUCAGUCGUAGCUUUCUGGGUACUUAGUGUAACUGGAAUUCAUGUAAGAAGUUAGUAGCUUAUUUUGAAAAUUUUGGAUAGGGAUUAUAGGGACAAUCCAACAAAUAAUGUACUAGGUUGUUAUUAUUAUUUCUCUCAGAACUGCAAUUUUGAAUUUCUUCGCUGUCUCUUUAUUUUGCCGAAGGUAUUGGGUGAGAUCGUAACCCAUUCUGGGUUUCUUGAAUUCCGUCCAUUUUUCUUGAUGUAUUUAGUUUGUAGACGUGAAGAGGGAUGGCCUCACAAACAAUUAUUAUUGUUAUUAUUCCAAAUUUGGGAUGCAACUUUACAAGAGGGAUCAACACCCUGUUUGGAUUCUGAAGGCUCAAUCAAAUUCCUAAAUCCGAUGAUCUUUGAUCAAUUGUUUCUGUAAAAGAGAAUUUUUAUGAUGUCUUGGUUCCUGCUGAUCAUGUGAGCAUGAGUUGCCAUUGCAAGUGGGCAUCAGACAGAGCUGUUUUAGGAUGGGGCAUACUCAUGACUGGAGAUGUUUACUGGAGAGAUUACGUUGAUUCGACUCAUUAUCCUGUAUUUUAUCAGUGUCCACCUUGCUACAAAGACAUGAGUUUUCGGAUUAAUAUAUCAUUCACUGAAAUAAUUUAUGUGAACUUGUCAGAGGAAUUGCUUGGGAUCGUUGAGGAGGUAUGUUUUCUGAUUUUUUAAAUUUUGCUCUGGAGCUGUAAAUUUUGUUCAGUGGACGGUGUUCUCCCAAUGUUUUUUGUAGUUUGUUUUGCAGAGUUUCUUUUAAUCAAUUUUGAAUAGGUUAUUGAGGGCAUGUUUGGGUAUUGCUCUAUUUUCUCUUUUAGCUAUUGAUGCGAGGUUAGCUUCCCAUAUUCCCUGUGUUGAUAAAUUUGCUGCGGCUCAUGCUGUGGAGAUCUGGAAGCUAAUUGUGGAUCACUUCUGUUCUUUCCAUUCUGGUCAUUUUAUUUGUUUAAGCCCAUAUAUGAUCACUUUUAAUUUCGUAAGUGACAUCAUAUUUUCAACUCUUCACUUUAGUUUGUGGUGAUGAUAUCCUUUUCUGUAAAUUCAUCAUUCUAGAAGAUGUUGUGCCAACAUGUACUGUAGACACAAAAGAAAUUCAAACAUGGUCUGACUGCUGAUGUUAAAAGGUGAAAAGCUAGAAGUGAACUGUCGGCAACAAGUCAUCUGUUCUAGGCCUAAAUAAACUGAUGGAUGCAUACAUGAAAGUUAUGUGAAUUCUGUAGCAUAAUUGUAAGCUUCUCCAAUCUUGGUUACUCACCAAAAACUAAUACUCUUUUCUCAAACUGGUUUGUGUCUAUGACAUCACUUUUUGUCUGUGAGAAAGUGAGGAGGUUGUAAGAAAAUCUCUUUAAAUUGAAAGAGGUUAAAUGGCAAUUUCUGUUGUUGAACUGGCUAGAUAGCCAAGGGUGUACAAAAAUAUAUUUUGAUGGGUAACUUUAUUUAUUUAUUUUUUGGUGUCCUACUGGGACUUGAACAUGGAACCUCCCACAUUCCCAUUCCAAGCAAUUGGCACCUGAGUCAAGCCUCAAGGGCAAAGGGUGUAUGAGAAUGUUCAAUAUCGUUACCAUUUUUUUCCUUGUGAGAGGUUACUUGUUGCCUUCAUUAAAGAUUGCUCUUGCCAACACUUUUUAGGGUAUCUGGUGUUCGAUUGCAGAAGGCCAAUAUUAUCCAUUUUUCCCUGUGGGUUGAAACUAAGUUUGUUUGGAAGUUCAUCUGAACUAGUAAUACAUAUUUUAUUGCCAAGUCUGAUUGAUCGACAAGUUCACCGAGAAGAACAGAAUGACCAGCCACUAUUAUAGGAUUGCAUAUAGGUCCAUGGAAUGUGCAUUUGCAGGAAAUAAAUGAGCUAUAGAUAUUUUAUAUGAAAGGAAAUUUCAUUGAAUUGAUGCUUGUGUUGGAAAAUCAGAAAAAAAAAAAAAAAAACAUCAUUUCUAAUCAAUUAUUGCAGCUGCAGUGGAAUGCAAAAGAAUGAGUUCAAAGCAGGCUGAAUGAUGUUCUUUGAUGAGUGUCUCUGGUUCAUGGGAUCCCCUUCUGCAACUUAUGUCAUGUAAAUUUCUUUUCCUUUCCUUCUUUGAUAAAAAAUUAUAAGGAUUUACGUUUUUCUCUUGUACACAUUGUUUUAAUUGACAGAAGUUCACACCAUCUGCUGGUACCUAGUGUGAACCCUUGUACGCAUCAAGGCCACCCCCAAAACCCCAGUUUAAUAUUUGACAUGUGAAUCGGGAGCCAGCUCUAACAAUCCAAGAACUCUAGUAACAUAUCUUUUUUGAAAAAGUUGUAUCCAUUUGUUCAACGUGUGAUUCUAAAGCAGUAAAGACUUCCAUCACAAUUUUCCUUUCUAAUGUUUCCACAGUUUUUUCUGAUGAUUCUAUUUGCAGAGACCUUAAUGGUUGAAAUUGGGAAUUUAAACACUUGGCCAAACUCAAUGGAUGAAGAUCUUCGCUGAUCCUAUGAUUUAUUACUCAAAUGCCCGGUCAGUAAGCUCUGUAACGAUAAUCCAUCAUACCUGUGUGAUAAUAAAUCAUCAUAGCCAUAUUUUUCAGGUCAUACAUUUCUUUCCUUCAUUUUUAUUUUCAUUAGUUUAUUUCCCUUUGCUAAAUGGAAGUCAGGGAUAAGCGAUAGAUGUUAAGGCUCAUCCAUCUUUUUUUUUAUCCAUUCUGGCCUGGGUUUGGGCCAGGCAUUGAGGUCUGCCUCAAGAUCUGUGCAUUAUUGGUUGAUUGUAAAUUAUGCAGCUAGGAACAGUGUUGAAGAAACAGAAUAAUUGGAAACUGGGUUUUAUAAUAAACUAGUUUAUCUCUUUUAUCUUUA